rnacentral:rRNA from 1 species
CCUACGGGGGGCAGCAGUGGGGAAUAUUGGACAAUGGGGGGAACCCUGAUCCAGCCAUGCCGCGUGUGUGAAGAAGGCCCUCGGGUUGUAAAGCACUUUCAGUGAGGAAGAACGCCUGGUGGUUAAUACCCAUCAGGAAAGACAUCACUCACAGAAGAAGCACCGGCUAACUCCGUGCCAGCAGCCGCGGUAAUACGGAGGGUGCGAGCGUUAAUCGGAAUUACUGGGCGUAAAGCGCGUGUAGGUGGCUUGAUAAGCCGGUUGUGAAAGCCCCGGGCUCAACCUGGGAACGGCAUCCGGAACUGUCAAGCUAGAGUGCAGGAGAGGAAGGUAGAAUUCCCGGUGUAGCGGUGAAAUGCGUAGAGAUCGGGAGGAAUACCAGUGGCGAAGGCGGCCUUCUGGACUGACACUGACACUGAGGUGCGAAAGCGUGGGUAGCAAACAGGAUUAGAUACCCCGGUAGUC